rnacentral:rRNA from 1 species
UACGUAGGGUGCAAGCGUUGUCCGGAAUUAUUGGGCGUAAAGAGCUUGUAGGCGGUUUGUCGCGUCUGCUGUGAAAUUUCGGGGCUCAACCCCGAACUUGCAGUGGGUACGGGCAGACUAGAGUGCGGUAGGGGUGACUGGAAUUCCUGGUGUAGCGGUGAAAUGCGCAGAUAUCAGGAGGAACACCUGUGGCGAAGGCGGCUCUCUGGGACGGUACUGACGCUGAGACGCGAAAGCGUGGGGAGCGAACAGG